rnacentral:rRNA from 1 species
UCCGUAGGCGGGCAAUUAAGUCAGAGGUGAAAUCCCACAGCUCAACUGUGGAACUGCCUUUGAUACUGGUUGUCUUGAGUUACAGUGAAGUAGAUAGAAUAUGUAGUGUAGCGGUGAAAUGCAUAGAUAUUACAUAGAAUACCGAUUGCGAAGGCGGUCUACUAACUGUAUACUGACGCUAAUGGACGAAAGCGUGGGGAGCGAACAGGAUUAGAUACCCUGGUAGUCC